AUUGAACGCUGGCGGCAGGCCUAACACAUGCAAGUCGAGCGGGGUUUUCGGACCUAGCGGCGGACGGGUGAGGUAAUGCGUAGGAAGCUGCCCGAUAGAGGGGGAUACCAGUUGGAAACGACUGUUAAUACCGCAUAAUGUCUACGGACCAAAGUGUGGGACCUUCGGGCCACAUGCUAACGGAUGCGCCUACGUGGGAU
rnacentral:rRNA from 1 species